AUGGCAGUGGCAGCGGGGCUUAUGCUGGGGACACGGGCAGCAGUGACAGCCCUGCUGAACCCCACAGCACCCACAGCGUUCGCUGUCAAACACGCAUCCAAGAAGACAGGUGGCAGCUCUAAGAACCUUGGUGGGAAAUCACAAGGCAAACACAUCAAGAAAAUGGAAGGUCACUACAUUCAUGCUGGCAACAUCCUUGGCACUCAGCGUCAGUCUAGAUGGCACCCGGGCACCCAUGUGGGACUUGGGAGGAACAAGUGCCUGUAUGCCCUGGAGGAGGCGUGCCCAAUACCAAAAACUCGGAGGCUGUGGAUCUAGUCACUAGUCUGCCCAAGGGUGCUGUGCUCUACAAGACUUUUGUCCACAUGGUUCCUGCCAAACCUGAGGGAACCUUCAAACUAGUAGACAUGCUUUGA
rnacentral:lncRNA from 1 species